AACUGAGGUCCGGAACAUAGGGGUUGAGUCUGGAGAUGUCACUAGAUCACUACUCAGGCCUGUUCCUUCAUCCUGCCUGUGCUCCCCCGUCAUGCGUCCCAGAUGCACUUGGGCUGUGCUGGGCUCUGAAUACGUGUCUUCCUGAUCAUUUACUCUGGUUUGCCCUAUGCUCUUCUCUGCCCGUGCUUCUCUGUCUACGGGCUUAUCCAUGUGUUGUCAGAGCUCUUCUGUGCCCAGCUGAACCCAGAGGUUCUCUCACAGUGGAGCUCCAUCCUCCCCAUCAUACUGGGGGGUCCUAAUGAGGAGCCUUUGCUCCUCAUCCUGGGGUUCCCAGCAGGUAUGGGCUCUCUGCAGGUAAGGAGCCUUUGAUUUGGUGGAGCUCUUUUCCCUGUCAGUUUGGAGACUUUCAGGGUAGACCCAGCUCCACUCCUGCAGUAGUCCUGCAGACUUGCUGAGGGUCUCACACACAGGGAGGUUCUCACUCCAAAUCCCUUCCUGAGAAUGUGGCAGUGCUUUGGAGGAUGGAUCUGGGACCACACUAUUUCUCUUCUGCAAACUGCCCUAGAUUCCCUCUCCACAGCCUUUCCCUGGCCUUGUCCACCCUUGUUCCCUCCUGAUCACACCUUUGGACAAUCGUCCCCUUCCUCAUCCCAUCCUGUCCCCUGCUGGACAUGGCAUCCUAUGUCCCAACAUCAGGGCUGGAGCCAGCAAACUGAGUCGGAGAGGCACAGGCUUGGGGAUAAGCUAGGGCUGGGGGUGAGGAUGAGGGGCAAUCCCAAGCUUGUGCACCUUUGGAAAAGCCUGCAGUACUGAGAGCCUUAUGCACCCUCAUGGGGAGUCGGGUUGGGGGGCAGGUGAACAAAGGAAUUGGGUGGGGAGGAAGAAGGGCAGUGGCUUCUUGGAAGGGAGGCAAGGAAACAAAGCAGGGCUGGGUGUUGAGCGCACAGACGCUGGGCCUGAGGUUUUGAGAUUUUCUUGGUUUGGUUUUGUUUUGAUUUUAUUUCCUUCCUAAAGUUUGUCCCUUAAAGAGCCUCAACUUUGUCCCUUUGCACUCCGCCCCAAGGGAAAAGGGAGUGUUUGUGGGAGAAGACCAGGGACUGGGAGGCCCUCAUGGGUGGUGAAGGCCUGGCUGAUGGAAGGGAGGGAAACCGGCUUCGAGAGGAGGGUUGUUGAGCAGUGUUUCAGCGGUGCUGCCUAACAUUAUUUUACCAAGCUAUGACCCUAGAAGGGCUUGCUUCUGUGGGUGCAAAGGGGCUGAGACAAGACAGGCUCUGUGGGAGGGAAAAAACCCACUUGCAGUAGGUGGCAUCUGCCCCCGCAGAACCUCUUGACACGCUGCACCUGUGGGGAGGAAAAAGAAAGGGGGAAGAGGUGCUCACCGCACGCUGACAGCUGUAGUGUAUGACUAGUGGUGUGUGGAGAGGUGUUGGACCCGGCUCUGUGGGUCUGCUGACGGCUCUGCCCAGCAGCACCACGCAGCCCUCCCAGAGAAAGUGCCCGCCGAGGUAGGAAAGCACAUUUGUCACCUGAAGAAGAGGCAGGUGUGUGCAUGCAUGUGAGUGUGCAUGUGUGAACAGGCAUCCUCAGGUCUUCGUGGUCUGUUGGGGUGUCUGUGUGCAGUGAGCAUCUGUGUCAAGGCCUGCUGGAAGGAGUUAGCUCAGAGGAUUCUGUGGGCUGAAGGGUGCCUGUGAUGGCUGCUAUUUUUUUUUUUUUACCAUGACAGGGAAUGAGGAGCCAUUUGCAGAAAAGUCUUAAAAGGUCAUGGGGACAGAUGAGGGAAAUAUUUCUUUUCUCAAGCUCACUUGUUCCUAAGGUGACCCUGCAGCUGUUAACCGUCCUUGCUUAAUUAAAGUUUCCAACAACCCAGUCCCCUCCCCCAGCCCCCUCAUCAGGGCUUCCUCCAGAAAACAGACAGUGGUGGGAGUCGGUAGCUCCCUGGGGGCUUCUGGGGUCUGUGAGAUGGAGUGAGAGCAUAUAGAGCAGCUGGGGGCAGGGGCCGGUGCGGGCUGUCAGGAGACCGGGUGUGGUGUCUGGGGGUAGGGGUCCCUUCUCCGUAGAUCAGUUAUGGGAACAUUUGCAGGAAUUCAGUAAACUGUAGGUAAUGCCUACAGUUUUCUUUUUCUUUCUUUCUUUCUUUUAUUUUUUUUUUGAAGAUUUUAUUUAUUUAUUUGACAGACAGAGUUCACAAGUGGGCAGAGGAGGAAGAAGAGGAGGAAGCAGGCUCCCUGCUGAGCAGAGAGCCCGAUAUGGGGCUGGAUCCCAGGACCCUGGGAUCAUGACCUGAGCCGAAGGCAGAGGCUUUAACCCACUGAGCCACCCAGGCACCCCAAUGCCCUAGUUUUCAAAACCAGUACACACAAGUGAACACGGCCUGGACACCAGACGCAGGGAUCAACUAGGACGUUGUCACACAGUCCUGGCCUUCAGUCCUGAGGGCCUGGGCCAGGGCACGAGCCUCGGAGACAGAUUAAAUUAAAAGGUUGUAGCGAAGAGAGAAGGUAAAAGAUCCGGGCUUCAGGACCAGAAGUAAAAUAACGUUCCAACCGCACCCAGCUCCAGAUCUAGUGAGUCCCUACGUCCCGCGAACCGCGAAACGCUGUUCUGGGAGCCCCAGGGUCCCAGCUCCGCGAAGGGUAGGGCUAAACUCGUGGGGUGGGUAAGAUUAAGGUGGGGGAAGGGUGGAGAACUGUCGGGACUAGAUUUCCCACCAUGCUGUGGACGGGGCAGUUUUACGCAUGCGCAGAGGCCGUGGCAAGCCUGCGAUGUGCCUGACGGGGGCGCUCCGGCUUUGGUCCAGAGACGGGCAGAGUGGAUGUAACGGGGAGUGUUAAGUCCUGCGAUGGUGGUGUUUGAGGCCUCGGCUGCAGUUUUCGGCUCAUCCCAGUGGGUUGGCGGGACCCCAAGCCCCUUCUCUUACAGAGCCUGUCUUUCACGUCCCCCAGGCCGCGGAACUGAGCGGUCUGCAGACUAGCAAUCCUCAGAACCCCACAUCCCGCUGCCAGUGGUUCCCCGCAUCCGGUGCCGGCCCCCAAAGCCGCCUUCCCUCCCACACAGCCUCAGCUGCCUAUUGCUACCGCGACCCGCGCCUCUGCUGGGGGAGGCCCAAGUUGAGGUCCACGGAGGCGGAUCUGGCGUUUGGGUUAUUCUCUGUGUGUGUGUAGAGGGUCUGCCUUAUUGGGACCACCAGGUAAGGCUCAGGAGCACAGUUCCCUACUCUGGUUUUCUCUGGGACUGUGAGUGGGAAGGAGAGAUGUUUGGAAGUAGAAGCCUGGCUUCCACUAUCUUCUGGCCCUGAAACCUCAGAAAGGUCUAUUAAGCCAGACUUACCUCUACAGAAGCCGGAGGGUGAAGUGGUGUAGACUUGAGGUUGUGGCUGGUGGCAGCACAGUCAUAGAGGCCACGGGGAGAGUGGGUCAGGAGCUGGGGGGCUUGCAACACCAGGUGAUGGGAGUGGGGUGGCUCUGAGUGCAAAUUCUAACGAUGAUCUAGCAGCAAGUACAGCUAGAGCUGGGCUCCAGCCUCCACCCCUAGCACUCACCCUGGCAGUGUUGAUGCCACUGACGCUCUUGGUCCAGCGGGCGCCCCCAGAAGUGCUCUGUACAGAGAGCAAAGCUCACAACCCUACCAUGUAGCGCCUGUUGCAGGUCUGAAGCAUCUAGAUAAAAAUCUAAACACUU